GCAGAGAUGGAUACUAACCAGCAGUGGACAAGGGAAGUUACAGUGUGAUGUCAGACAUGAUGCUGCUACUCGGCACCUCCUUCCAGAGAGCGAGCUUUGAGGAUGAGGCUGGAGCUUCUGUUACACAGAUGGAGCAUAAGGAAGAGAUGGCACUUGAGGACAAGUCUGCAGGUCUGUGGGUCGCCUGACCCACACCCUUUCCACAUCCACACAGGUCUCACCUCUUGGCAGAUGGCAUGCUGGGAGUUCUUGGACUUCUUAAUUUAUGACAGUUUUUUUUAUGUUAUUUAUGUGUAUAAUUAACUACUUUGUAUGCAGUACCCUUAUGAAAUGAACUUGGCCUAGGGGUGAACUGUUUUCUAAAACAUAGCCUUUGUUCUCCAAAUAAAACUAUUCCAGGAAACCAUGGAAAAAAUGGGCAGGCAAUCCAUAGCCCUAAUCUAUUUUUUAAAAAUUCAACCGCAGUUCCUCUUUGCCUUUAUAGCCUCUCAAAGAUGAAUGAGCUGAGCCCAAAUGAGCACUGGGCUCAAUCAAACAUCACUAGCAUUUGACUUUUAUUCUCUUCUCACUAAAAUAAAGACCUUUGAAAUCACAUUUUUUAUUUUUUAAAGAUGUAUUUUUGUGCCUAUACCCAGGUUGUUAAAUCCUGUUGAAAGACGGAGCUUAGGUUGUACAGUCUCUCCUGCUGCCACUGUUUGCUUAAAUAUACAGAGGCAUCUACUUCCUGCUGUUAUAAGCAGGAAUUCAGAUAAAACCAGCCUUUCUCCCCAAGUGUCUGUGACACAUGGUCUCCCCAGUCAUUGGCUGAAGCAAGCAGGUUGUCUCACCAUAGUUACAGCUCCCCUGCAGAUAGCAACUGGAUAGCAAAACAAAGGCACCUCUACACUCCAGGUACCCCACAUACAUAAACCAUUGUUGAUCCGUAGGAAAUGUUCAGGUUGUUUUGUUUUUUUUUUUAAACUGGUCUAAAUCGGUCAUAGCUAUGUGUCCAACAAGCCCUGUGACUAUGUCUAGGUUCGCAUAAAUAAAUGUAUCAGACUUUGUUUACACCUUGUGAAUGGUAAUGCUAUAGGGUCACAUGUCAUAACAAGAUGGAUCUCAUAGUUGCAGCACAGGAUUCCACCCUCUGGGAUGGUGUUAGCCAGUGAUAAGUUCUCAGGAAAAGGGUCUGUACCAGAUGCCCUCUCCUAUGUCGGGCAUGAAAGCCUGCUGGAGAAUGGUCUCAUGAAAGGCAGAUCUUUGCUCCUUCACACCAUUCUCAGUCAGUAUCCAAAGGCAGAAGCAGUGCCUGUGACUACCAUAGAUUCUGAGGUUUGUGGAGACCAUUCUGUAACUCUGAGGGUGUUUCAUGUCACAUCUGUUUGUAUGGUGAUAAAUAAAGGUGCUGUGACCUGUGUUUUUC
rnacentral:lncRNA from 1 species